rnacentral:rRNA from 1 species
CUCACUGGUCGAGUGACCCCGCGCCGAAAAUGUACCGGGGCUAAACAUAUUACCGAAACUGUGGAUGAACCUCUUUAGAGGUUCGUGGUAGGAGAGCGUUCUAAGGGCGGUGAAGUCAGACCGGAAGGACUGGUGGAGCGCUUAGAAGUGAGAAUGCCGGUAUGAGUAGCGAAAGAAGGGUGAGAAUCCCUUCCACCGAAUAUCUAAGGUUUCCUGAGGAAGGCUCGUCCGCUCAGGGUUAGUCGGGACCUAAGCCGAGGCCGAUAGGCGUAGGCGAUGGACAACAGGUAGAGAUUCCUGUACCAGUGCUAAUUGUUUAACCGAUGGGGUGACACAGAAGGAUAGGGAAUCGCACGAAUGGAAAUGUGCGUCCAAGCAGUGAGUGUGAGAAGUAGGCAAAUCCGCUUCUCGCGAAGCAUGAGCUGUGAUGGGGAAGGAAAUUAAGUACGGAAGUUCCUGAUUUCACGCUGUCAAGAAAAGCCUCUAGGAAGAGUAGUACUGCCCGUACCGCAAACCGACACAGGUAGAUGAGGAGAGAAUCCUAAGGUGAGCGAGAGAACUCUCGUUAAGGAACUCGGCAAAAUGACCCCGUAACUUCGGGAGAAGGGGUGCUCUAUUAGGGUGCAAGCCCGAGAGAGCCGCAGUGAAUAGGCCCAGGCGACUGUUUAGCAAAAACACAGGUCUCUGCAAAACCGUAAGGUGACGUAUAGGGGCUGACGCCUGCCCGGUGCUGGAAGGUUAAGAGGAGUGCUUAGCUUCGGCGAAGGUACGAAUUGAAGCCCCAGUAAACGGCGGCCGUAACUAUAACGGUCCUAAGGUAGCGAAAUUCCUUGUCGGGUAAGUUCCGACCCGCACGAAAGGCGCAACGAUCUGGGCACUGUCUCAACGAGAGACUCGGUGAAAUUAUAGUACCUGUGAAGAUGCAGGUUACCCGCGACAGGACGGAAAGACCCCGUGGAGCUUUACUGCAACCUGAUAUGGAAUGUUUGUACCGCUUGUACAGGAUAGGUAGGAGCCGAAGAGACGUGUGCGCUAGCAUACGAGGAGGCAAUGGUGGGAUACUACCCUGGCUGUAUGACCAUUCUAACCCGCCACGCUUAGCGCGUGGGGAGACAGUGUCAGGUGGGCAGUUUGACUGGGGCGGUCGCCUCCUAAAGAGUAACGGAGGCGCCCAAAGGUUCCCUCAGAAUGGAUGGAAAUCAUUCGCAGAGUGUAAAGGCACAAGGGAGCUUGACUGCGAGACUGACAAGUCGAGCAGGGACGAAAGUCGGGCUUAGUGAUCCGGUGGUUCCGCAUGGAAGGGCCAUCGCUCAACGGAUAAAAGCUACCCCGGGGAUAACAGGCUUAUCUCCCCCAAGAGUCCACAUCGACGGGGAGGUUUGGCACCUCGAUGUCGGCUCGUCGCAUCCUGGGGCUGUAGUCGGUCCCAAGGGUUGGGCUGUUCGCCCAUUAAAGCGGCACGCGAGCUGGGUUCAGAACGUCGUGAGACAGUUCGGUCCCUAUCCGUCGCGGGCGCAGGAAAUUUGAGAGGAGCUGUCCUUAGUACGAGAGGACCGGGAUGGACACACCGCUGGUGUACCAGUUGUUCCGCCAGGAGCAUCGCUGGGUAGCUAUGUGUGGCAGGGAUAAACGCUGAAAGCAUCUAAGCGUGAAGCCCCCCUCAAGAUGAGAUUUCCCAUUUCUUCGGAAAGUAAGAUCCCUGAAAGAUGAUCAGGUAGAUAGGUUUGGAGUGGAAGUGUAGCGAUACAUGGAGCGGACAAAUACUAAUCGAUCGAGGACUUAACCAAAA